GUCACUUAAAAACAUGUGAGAAAUGUCACUAAUGUAACUUACAAAACAAAACACCAGUCUCGAACACCGGCCUCCGGGUUAAAAGUAGUGUGUUUGUUGGGCACAUCCGUCGACCCACCCGCCCGCCAUAAGCGGUCUUUCUCACUGUGUAUUCUACGUUACAAGCUCUGAGUGUAGCAUAUUUACGCGGAUGCAUUUACAUUGGACUCAGUACGGACUACAUGGCGUACAAAUGACAGGCCAAAUGCAAGAAAGGCAUUAGUAUUGCACCCUAAAUGGCUUUUGCAU